rnacentral:rRNA from 1 species
CGGGUGAGUAACGCGUGAGUAACCUGCCUUACACAAGGGGAUAGCCAUUGGAAACGACGAAUAAUACCCUAUGACAUAAACUCUUCGCAUGAAGAGCUUAUCAAAGAUUUAUCGGUGUAAGAUGGACUCGCGUCUGAUUAGCUAGUUGGUGAGGUAACGGCCCACCAAGGCAACGAUCAGUAGCCGGCUUGAGAGAGUGUACGGCCACAUUGGGACUGAGACACGGCCCAGACUCCUACGGGAGGCAGCAGGC